AAAUUGAAGAGUUUGAUCAUGGCUCAGAUUGAACGCUGGCGGCAGGCCUAACACAUGCAAGUCGAACGGUAACAGAAAGCAGCUUGCUGCUUUGCUGACGAGUGGCGGACGGGUGAGUAAUGUCUGGGAAACUGCCUGAUGGAGGGGGAUAACUACUGGAAACGGUAGCUAAUACCGCAUAAUGUCGCAAGACCAAAGAGGGGGACCUUCGGGCCUCUUGCCAUCGGAUGUGCCCAGGUGGGAUUAGCUAGUAGGUGGGGUAACGGCUCACCUAGGCGACGAUCCCUAGCUGGUCUGAGAGGAUGACCAGCCACACUGGAACUGAGACACGGUCCAGACUCCUACGGGAGGCAGCAGUGGGGAAUAUUGCACAAUGGGCGCAAGCCUGAUGCAGCCAUGCCGCGUGUAUGAAGAAGGCCUUCGGGUUGUAAAGUACUUUCAGCGGGGAGGAAGGGAGUAAAGUUAAUACCUUU
rnacentral:rRNA from 1 species